CUCAUGUGGUUCAUGCAUGGCUUGCAGGUGGUUCAGGCAUGGCUGGCAUGUGGUUCAAAUGUGACUGACAUGUGACUCAUGCAUGGCUCACAUGUGUGUCAGGCACAGCUCACACAUGGUUCAGGUGUGGCUCACAUGUGCCUCAGGUGUGGGUGACAGGUGGUUCAGGCAUUGGUGACACAUGGCCCAGGCAUGGGUGACAGGUUGUUCAGGCUUUGGUGACACGUGGCUCAGGAUUGGCUGGCACAUUGCUCACGCUUGACUCAGGUGUGGCUGUCACAUGAUACAGGUGUGGCUGGCUCAUGGUUCAGAUGUGCCUGGCAUGUGGUUCAUGUGUGGCUGAAAUGUGGUUCAGGCUUGGUUGAUACAUGGUUCAGGCGGGGGUGACACAUGGCUCUGGCAUGUCUCUCAUGUGACUCAAACGUGUCUCACAAGUGAUACAGGCAUGGCUUGCUCGUGUUAGAGGCAUUUUUAACAUGUGGUUCAGGUGUGGCUGAAACAUGGUUCAGGUGUGGCGGACACAUGGUUCAGGCAUGGCUGGCACAUGUUUCAGACGUGCCCAGCAUGUGGAUCAGGAAUGCCCUACACGUGGUUCCAGUGUGCCUGUCAUGUGGAUACAGCAUGGUUGGCAUGUGCUUCGGGUGUGGCAGGCACGUGGUUCAGGCAUUCCAGCUACAGGUAUCAGGCCUGGCAGGAACAUGUUUCUGCUGUGGCCAACACGUGGUUCAUUCAUGGCCAGCAUUUUGUACAUGCAUGGCAGAAACGUGUUUCAGGCAUGGUGGAAACGUGGUUCAUGUGUGGCUGGCUUGUGGUUCAGGUGUGGCAACCACGUGGUUCAGAUGUGCCAUUAACAUGGUUCAGGUGGGGAGAAGACAUGUUUCUGGCAUGACUGGCAUGUUGUUCAGUUGUGUCAGUCUCGUGGUUCAGGGAUGGUUGGCGCAUUGUUCAAGGGUGGCUGUAAAGUAUUUCAGGGGUGGGUGACAUAUGGUUCAGGUGUGGGUGACAUGAGGUUCUUGAGUGGCUGGAAUGUGGUUGACAUGUGGCUGGCAUGUGUUUCAGGGCAGCUGGCAUGUUGAUGAGUCAUGGCUGUGAUGUGUUUGUGUCAUUUUUGACACGUGUUUCAGGCGUGGCUGACAUGUCUUUCAGGCUUGGCUGGCUCAUGGAUCAGGCGUGCCUGGCUCAUGGUUCAGUCAUGGCUGGCACAUAGUUCAGGCAUGGCUGGCAUGUGGUUCGUGUGUGGCUGGCACAUAGUUCCAACAUGCAUGACACGUGGUUCUGGCAUGGCUGGCACUUGGUUCUGGCAUGGAUGGCAUGUAGUUCAGGUGGCGAUGGCAUGUCAUUCUGGUGUGGUUGGCACAUGGGUCAGGAGUGCCUGGCUGGUGGUUCCUGUGUGGCCAGCAUGUACUUCUUGCAUUGAUGGCAUGUGCUUCACAUGUGGCUGGCACAUGGUUCAGGCAUGGCAGAAAGGUGGUUCAGGUGUGGCUGGCACGUGGUUCAGGGGUGGAUGGCACAUGGAUCUGGUGUGGUCAGCAUGUGGUUCAGGCGUGGGACUCACGUGGUUCAGGUGUGGCCAGCACCUGUUGUCAGUGUGCAAGAACCAUGCUUCAGGCUUGGAUGGCACAUGCUUCCAGUGAGUCCGGCAGGUGUUUCUGGCUUGUCAGCACAUGGGUCACUUUUGGCCAGGACAUGGUUCAUGCAUGGAUGGCACGUGGUUCAAGCUCUGAUGGCAAGUGGUUCAGGCGUGACUGGAAUAUGAUUCAGGUGUGGCCGGCACGUAUUUCCAACAUGGUCAGCAGAUGGAUCUUGCAUGACAGCCAUGUGGUUCAAGCAUGUCUGGCGUGUGGUUCAGGUGUGGUGGAAAUGUAGUUCAAGGGUGGCAAAAACAUCAUUCACAUGUGGGUGAAUGGUGGCUCAGGUGUGGUGGAAACGUUGUCCAACCAUGACAUGCUUGUGUUUCAGGCAUGUCUGGCACAUGGAUCCAGCGUGGCUUGCAUGUGGUUUAGGCAUGGCAGAAACGUCAUUCAGGCAUGGCUGGCAUGUAGUUGAGGCAUGGCUGAAACGUGCUUCAGGUGUGGGUGACAUGUGGUUCAAAUUUCGGUCACAAGUGGCUCUGGUCUGGCUGGCAUGUGGUUCAUGCAUGACUCACAUGUGGUUCAGGGUGUCUGGCACAUUGAUCAGUCAUGGCUGGGACGUGUUUAUAUCAUGAGUGACACGUGUUUCAGGUGUGGCUGAGAUGUGUCUCAUGUAUGGCUGGCAAGUGGUUCAGGCAUGCCCAGCACAUGAUUUAGGCAUGGAUGGCAUGUGUUUCUGUUGUGGCAAGCACGUGGGUAAUACCAGGCCAGCCCAUGGCUCCGGCGUGGCUGUCAUGUACAUCUGGCAUGCCUGGGACGUUGUUCAUGCAUGGUGGAAAUGUGGUUCUGCUAUGGCUGGCAUGUGUUUCAGACAUUGAUGGCACAUGGUUCAGGCAUGGAAGGCACAUGGUUCAGGCAUGGCAGAAUCAUGGUUCAGGUAUGGCAGAAAUGUGGUUCAGUUGUGGCCAGCAAUUGUUUAGGCAUGGUUCAGGUGUGGCUGGCAUGUGCUUUAGGCAUGCCUGGCAUGUUGUUCUUGCUUGAGAGGCAUGUGGUUCACGUGUAGCAAGCAUGUGGUUCAUGAGUGGCUGGCAUGUGGCUCAGGCCUGGUGAAAACAUGGUUCAGGCAUGGCAGAAACGUUGUUCAGGUCAGGCUGGCAAGUGGUACAUGUGGGGCAGGGAUAUGGUUCAUGGGUAGCCAGCACAUGUUUCCAGCAUGACCAGCAUGUGGCGCCAGCAUGGCUGGCACAUUGUUCAGGUGUAGCCACCAAGUGUUUCAGGCAUGGCUGGCAUGUGGUUCAGGCAUGGCUGAAACAUGAUUCAGGCGUGUGUGACACAUUGUUCAGACAUGGGUGACACGUGGUUUUGGCAUGGCUGGCACAUGGUUCACAUGUGGCUGGCAUGUGGUUCAGGGUGGUAGGCAUGUUGAUCAGGUGUGGAUGGCACGUGUUUGUGUCUUGUGAGACAAGUGCUUCAGGCAUUAAUGGCAUGUGUUUCAGGCAUGGCCGGCAUGUGGUUCUAAGUGUUGAUGUGACAUGGUUGAGGCAUUGCCAGCAUGUGUUUCUGGCAUGGCUGGCACAUGCUUCAGGCAUUGCAGGCAUGUGGUACAGGCCUGGCAGAAUCCUGGUUUGGGUGUGGUGGAAACGUGGUUCAGGUCUGGCCAGCAACUGUUUCAAGCAUGGCUGGCAUGUGGUUCUGUCAUGACAGGCACAUAGUUCAGGUGUGGCAGAAAUGUGGUUCAGGAGUGGCUGGCAUGUUGUUCAGGCAUGGCGGAAACAUGGUUCAGUCAUGGAGGGAACAUGGUUCAGGUGGGGCCGGCAUGUGGUUCAGGCCUGGCUGGCACGUGGUUCAGACUUGGCUGAAAUGUGGUUCAGGAAUGUGUGAAACACUCUUCAGAACUGGGUGACA
ensembl:lncRNA